GCGGGGGUCGCAUAGUCUGGCCAUUGCGUUGGAUUGCUAAUCCAAUGGGAGAUAAUCCCACGGGGGUUCAAAUCCCCCUCCCCGCGCCA
rnacentral:tRNA from 3 species